rnacentral:rRNA from 1 species
UUUAAUAUAUAGAUAACGUGCCUCUUAGUCUGGGAUAGCCCUUGGAAACGAUGAUUAAUACCGGAUACUCCUUCUAACUCUAAUGUUAGUCGGGAAAGUUUUUCGCUAAGAGAUCGGUCUAUAUCCCAUCAGUUAGUUGGUAAGGUAACGGCUUACCAAGGCAAUGACGGGUAGCGGGUUUGAGAGGAUGAUCCGCCACACUGGUACUGAGACACGGACCAGACUCCUACGGGAGGCAGCAGUGAGGAAUAUUGCACAAUGGAGGAAACUCUGAUGCAGCAACGCCGCGUGGAGGAUGACGCAUUUCGGUGUGUAAACUCCUUUUAUGAGUCAAGAAAAUGACGGUAGCUCAUGAAUAAGCACCGGCUAACUCCGUGCCAGCAGCCGCGGUAAUACGGAGGGUGCAAGCGUUACUCGGAAUCACUGGGCGUAAAGGACGCGUAGGCGGGAUGUCAAGUCAGGUGUGAAAUCCUAUGGCUCAACCAUAGAACUGCAUUUGAAACUGGCAACCUAGAGUAUGGGAGGGGGAGAUGGAAUUAGUGGUGUAGGGGUAAAAUCCGUAGAUAUCACUAGGAAUACCUAAAGCGAAGGCGAUCUCCUGGAACAUAACUGACGCUAAGGCGUGAAAGCGUGGGGAGCAAACAGGAUUAGAUACCCUGGUAGUCCACGCCCUAAACGAUGAACACUAGUCGUCGUGAUGCUUGUCAUUGCGGUGAUGCACUUAACAGAUUAAGUGUUCCGCCUGGGGAGUACGGUCGCAAGAUUAAAACUCAAAGGAAUAGACGGGGACCCGCACAAGUGGUGGAGCAUGUGGUUUAAUUCGAAGAUACGCGAAGAACCUUACCUAGCCUUGACAUUGAUUGAAUCUUUCAGAGAUGAGAGAGUGCCUUUCGGGGAACAUGAAAACAGGUGCUGCACGGCUGUCGUCAGCUCGUGUCGUGAGAUGUUGGGUUAAGUCCCGCAACGAGCGC